rnacentral:sRNA from 1 species
CAUGAAAACGGCAUCCAUUCUCGUAGUAGGAACGCGCGUGGGCAAGGCGGUGUAACCGCCGGGCGAAAUCCCCCCAUGCGCGACACACAGGCUCCCUCCGGGGGCCUUUUUUAUUGCCUGAA